AUUCAGCACACAUUUGCAAUGUGGACUAAAUUUAAACGAAGAAGAAUAUACGAUGGCGACGAAGCGCGACAUCUUUUCGAAGCUCUCUAUUUUACAGAAGAGGAAAAUGCUGCAACAAGUGAAGAGGCCACCAGUUUACGGGCCGGAGUACGGCUUAGCCUUAGGCGGGGACGACUCCCAGGCCAUGCCAGGCCCAGUCUGAUUAUUGAGUCGAGUUUUGGCGAUUUGACAUCAGCUACGCCUACGGGUUUGAAUAUUGCAACAAGCAACGACGUUGUUCGAGCAGAUCCCGUUGGCGAAGAGAGAGGUGGAACUUGAAGUGUUCAGUGAAAGCAGUGUUGUUCAAAGAGAGAAGGUACAUUCAUGUACACUACGAGAUGAACUCCCAAGCAAGUGAAGUUGAGCUUCAAGCAGGUGGCUACUCCACAGAAGUAGAUUUCCCUUUCAGAAUGUCAGAUUGUUAGAUUUCUGAAGUCGAUAUAAACUUUAAUUCACCAGAGCGAAAUGCAGCCUGUCUGGAAUUAGCGGCAAUACUGAGGAUGAAAUGCUGCAGAAGUUAUUGUCUUCAUAAGAUAUCAAGAAUAGAUGCAAGCAAGGCCCGCAGAAGAUUUCAGAACAAUACUCUAGCAGAUCAGAGGCUAUGGAUUUUGCAGUACCUUAUUGAACAUCACAACUUUGUAAACAUGGAUGGAGACUCAUCCUUGGGAUUACUAGGACCCGCUUAUGGAAGAUGGAGUCAGGAUUAGCAGAAGGAUUGGUGACAUCUCGUCCAUCAAAUCACCAUCAUAAAGGACUUUUUUGUCUGUGAUGACGUCAAUGGUGUGGCUUAGUGAAUUUGUCGAUAAGUUUGGAGAGAAACUGCCAACCAACAACAAAAUCCAUCUUCCAUCAUGCCUUACACGUGGAAAUGUGUAUUGGAUUAUGAAGGAGGAAGUAGAAGAGCAAGGAGGUUCUGUUUGUAGUCAGCAAUACUUCUUCCGCAAAUGAAGACAGGAAAUGUCUCAUGUUACCAUUCCAAAGGUGAACCUUUUUUACGAAAUGCGACAUAUGCACCAAACUGAAAUCUUGCCUAGAGAAGACAACUGGCAGAGAAGAGAGACAAACUUUACUGCAAGAAAGAGAGUCACACCUUUUCCAGCAAAAGUAAGUUUCAAUGAAAUAUUUGAUUGUGUAUAUGUACAUGUAUUUUAAUAGAUUUGAUUAUCACAGUCUUCCAGGAUAAGUAUCAUUUAUAUGUCAUGGAUGUCAGCCCGGAAGACUAGCCUCCACAAUUAUCAAUCUUUAUUCACUUGCCAUCUUUCUUCCCUCUUCUUUUGUGUAAAUGUGGUAUUUUCAAAGUAUAUGCAGAGAUACAAUGUUGAGGCCACUGGCGUAAAUCCCGGGGGGA